rnacentral:lncRNA from 1 species
AUGGACAACAAAACCACACUGUCCAUGAGGAAGAAGUCGCGCUGUUGUUCUCCAAGCAAAAGACUAAAUGCACAUGCUGUCUGGCAGUUUUCUAGCCAAAAUAUGACACAAAUUCCCUUGGACAGCUUAGGUAUGUAUGACUUGAAGUCUCUUUCUUCUCGUUCUAUGAGGUGGAGGUCAUUUUGCCAGGUUUUUUUCCCUACUAUGCUUUUACUAUUUGAUAGCUGUCACUGCCAGUUUUCACAAACACUGUCAAAUCUAAUUUAGACAUUUUUUCCUAUGUAUACAUUAAAAAUAGUUAGAAUUAUCAUACUAGUGAUUUAUCUUCAACUUCUUAAUUCAAGUAUUGUGAAGAAAAGUGAUGUCAUCUCCAAAAUUGGAUGAAAUAUAUCCAACUUACAUUUUUUCCAAAUUUUGCAUUAUGCAUCUUUAAAAAGGACUCUAAUGAAAAACUAGUGGAAUUUUU